GGAGUAAGCGAGACCUCUCCAACUGCGCGUCCUCCGCGGCCGGGAUUACCGUCUCCUCUCCGUCUGAACAGACCCGCCCGCUCAAUGAAGCUUGGUGCGUCUCCGUGAUUUCUUCGCCAUGAGCUGCUUGGAUGUGAUGUACCAAGUGUUUGGUCCUCAGCCUUACUUCAGCUCCUACAGCCCCUAUCACCACCAGAAACUGGCCUUGUAUUCCAAAAUGCAAGAUCCCCAGGACAGCGGCAGCCGGCUUGGCCCCCCGGGGCCCCCGGCGAUCAAAGAGGAGGACAAGGAGCUGCCGCCGGGAGCCGAGUACCUGAGCUCCCGCUGCGUCCUCUUCACCUACUUCCAGGGCGACAUCAGCGCCGUGGUGGACGAACACUUCAGCCGAGCGCUCAGCCAGACGACCGCAUACCCCGCCUCAAGCAGCCACAAGGCCGAAAGAGAUGGAUCAUUCCCUAUGAGCCAGCGAAGUUUCCCUCCUUCUUUCUGGAACAGUUCCUACCAGCCGUCGGUCUCUUCCACGCUGGGCAGUGCUCUGUCAGCUCCCCACACAGAGCUCUCUUUCCCUGGGGACCCGUACUCCUCGGCCUCCCUGCACAGCCACCUCCACCAGCCCAGCCCCGAGGCCUGGCACCCGUCCCACCACCACCACCACCACCAUCACCACCCUCCUUACUCGCUGGGGGGCGCUAUAGGAACCCAGGGCUCAGCAUACCCACGCCCGGGGGUUCAUGAGAUGUACGGCACGGCAUUUGACCCGCGCUACGGCUCGCUGUUGGUGCCGUCGGUGAGGCCUCACCACCGGCUGACGUCCAGCAGCUCGGUACCGGGGCCCAGCGCCUCACCCUGUGACGUCAGGGGGAAGGGGGAGUCGGGGACGGGCUCGACCUGGAGCGGCACCUUCACCGGAGCAGAAAUUGGACUCAACAUGGACACAGAGAAAAGGCUCCAGUGACGAAGACUGUUCUCCUUGGAUUAAUGGUAUCACAGGGAAACUUUCCUCAUCAGGACGAGUGUAAAAGUGUCUCCUCGAAAACGGAUGUUGGAAAAAAACUAAGGUGUCGUCUUAUAUUUGACAACUCAGAAACAACGACACAGUGGGAGAGGCAAUGCAACAGAUGUUAUACACAGUAUAAACAGG